AUGAAUUUCAGUGGUGAGGACGUCAGUCUAAUGCCACUUAUCCUCCUUUUAUUUUUCCUCUUCUCACAGGUUUAUGACAGGCUGCAGAAGUACAGAGUCCAGCGGCCUGCUCCACUGUUGGAUAACAGACAGGGCCUGGCUCAGGACCUGUGCAAUAAAUACCUGCGAUUGGGUUCCUAACAUCUUGUCUACCAUGUUUGGUGUUCUGUGACAGAAGGCCAGACCACAACUCACCAUGAACCCUGCAAGCACUGCACACAAUGAUCCAUUUUAAUAUAGAGCUCGCCAAUGGGCAGAAAAGAUAUGGAAACAGCUGGUCCUGCCACUUAGUCACUUCAGAACUUCAUAUCCCAUUUCUGUGAGGUUUUUGGACAUCCCGUUGGUGAUACUUCAGUCAGUGAACAACUCAAAUCAGUUACGUCAAGGAACAACCUCAAUUAUAGAAUAUGGUUUAAAAGUUCCAAACCCUCGCAGCUGCCAGUGGGUGGAAUGAGCCAACAUACAGACAAGGACUCGAACUAGCAUUGCAGAUGCCAGCUUCCUUUGACUCUCCAGAACCAUGCCACAAACCCAUGCAGAUAGACACUUGACAUCUCUCCUCAGCAGAGCGUCAAUGCUGGCCUACCCCUAGUCUCUGUCUAUAUUGCGGAGCAGCUAGGCAUGUGGUAACCACAUGUCCCAUCAAGCCUCCACAACUUUAGGUAAGUCACCCUGGUAACCACCCUGGUAACUCUUAUUGUCUUCAAUGCCUCUCUAUCUGUGCCUGCUCUUAUAGAUUCAGGGUCAGCCGGCAACUAUGGAAUGCUCUGCCAUUCCCUGUGGAAAAAUUCCUGUGAAUCUCAGUAAUAGGAAAACUUCUGGGUCAUGGCACUUUCUGUUACUCUGUGGGUCCAAUAAGGCUGUAAGUAGGCUGAUUGCACAUAUAAGAUGUCACGCUGGUUCUUGAAAAGUCAACAGCGGACAUCAUCUUGGGGUACUCAUAUCUUGUUAAACAUUCACCCAUAAUAUUCUGUUCUACAGGACACAUGCUGAAGUAGGGUCCUCAAGUGAUUUUUUUUUUUUACAUCACUUGCUCCAUCCAAGUCUCCUAUGUUGGAAGUCAAUUCCACCUCCAUCGAGAGCUUGAUCAAAAAACCAAAGAUCCUUCUUGUUCUUCUCACUUCAAGGAUGUCUUCUGCCCCAAACAGGCCUCCCAUUUACUGAAUCAUGUCAUAUGGCCUUGUCAGUGCCCCCUCCAUAUUCCAAGGAUAUUCCAUAUUCCUUUUAUCACCCCA
ensembl:lncRNA